rnacentral:rRNA from 1 species
CGGGUGGUAAUGCCGGAUGCUCCGGUUGGAUGCAUGUCCUUCCGGGAAAGAUCCGUCGGUAUGGGAUGGGGUCGCGUCCUAUCAGCUUGAUGGCGGGGUAACGGCCCACCAUGGCUUCGACGGGUAGCCGGCCUGAGAGGGCGACCGGCCACAUUGGGACUGAGAUACGGCCCAGACUCCUACGGGAGGCAGCAGUGGGGAAUAUUGCACAAUGGGCGCAAGCCUGAUGCAGCGACGCCGCGUGCGGGAUGGAGGCCUUCGGGUUGUAAACCGCUUUUGAUCGGGAGCAAGCCCUUCGGGGUGAGUGUACCUUUCGAAUAAGCACCGGCUAACUACGUGCCAGCAGCCGCGGUAAUACGUAGGGUGCAAGCGUUAUCCGGAAUUAUUGGGCGUAAAGGGCUCGUAGGCGGUUCGUCGCGUCCGGUGUGAAAGCCCAUCGCUUAACGGUGGGUCUGCGCCGGGUACGGGCGGGCUGGAGUGCGGUAGGGGAGACUGGAAUUCCCGGUGUAACGGUGGAAUGUGUAGAUAUC